AACGAGGCCGACCUGCGGCUGAGUUACCUGCGGAGGGAUCAUUAACAUUUUUGGAGGUAGGCUGUAUAAGUCUGGUUGGUAACAACUAGCAUGGCCCCUCUGAUUUGUACCCUUGUCUAUUUGCGCACUUAUGUUUCCUCGGUGGGCUUGCCUGCCGAUUGGACAAACUUAUAACCUUUUUAAUUGUUAAAUCAGCGUCUGAAACAAACAUAAUAAUUACAACUUUUAACAAUGGAUCUC
rnacentral:misc_RNA from 1 species